rnacentral:lncRNA from 1 species
UUUUUUUUUUUUUUUUUGUUUUUUCCCUCCCUUUUGGUUCCUUUGAUGAAGGUGAGGGAAAGCCCAUGGGCCAAGUGCAUAUGGGCCCAAAGGGCCGGUAGCGAGGGGCAACCAAAAAAUUCAGAUCGCGUUCACUCCAAAAAGAGUUUUAAACCCACAUCGUCGUUGGAAGCUAUAAAUACGGAUAUGAUAUUUUUUUUUUUGGAAGCAGCCACAAAUAUGGGGUUGAAACUUGUUGGAAGCCAAUGAUUAGCUCAGUGUACUAAAAUUGGAUUCUUAAUGCAAAUCCUUAAUUUUUGGAUGAUUUGAUUCAGCAAGCUGGAAAGGGACUGGGCGCCGGCGGUAUUACUGUAGUCGUUAAUCAUAUACUAUAACACUACUGCGUGAUUGAUUUUAGUCUAAAGUCGUGUGUUUAGCUCGCUCAGCUUCUUGCAGUUUUCCCCUAAUUUGCCAGACCCCAGAGACGUAAUUAAUAGCAGAGCCAGAGAAGUUGAAAUGACGGCAUAAGUAAAGUUGAAAUGUAUGUAUAAGACACUUCCAAGAGGGAUGGCACUUGGGAUCAUAAAACCAAUAUAUGUUUACUCGUAUCAAAUGAAAAAAGAGCAAGAAAAGGAAGCAUUCAUAUCAAGCUUUUCUGUGUCCAGUGUUAAAGCACCGGAAAACCACCUAAUACGGUACUGAGACAUCCGACCUCGUUAUACUUGAGACUAGACUUAUUUGAAGAACUGGGGAAACCCGCUUUAAUUUGGUGGAAAGAAGAUUUCUUCUGCAGUCCUCUUUGAGCGGAAUUGUUGCUCCACUUCCGGGGACACCUUGAAGGAAGCCUGCAGCACUUCCGGGGAUAAGGCCUUCCAGACCGAUGUUCUUCCAGCCAUGUGAGUGAAAAUGGGACUGCCAUACCACAGCAAAAAAUUAAAAAAAAAAAAAAAAAACACGGCCAGAAUGAAUUUACAAGAUAGAGAAAAAAAAACAAAACAAACAAGCAUUGAAUUUGAGGAGUACUGACUCUGGAGUUGUGACGAUAGAGAACCACUCGAGACCAUCAGCAUCAGCAAUUUUCGAGACGACGAAAAACCGGGAACUAUGAACAGAUUACCAGCCUUAACAGUUGUUUCUAGGACCCGCUUGCCAUCAACGCCAACAAUCUGGGCACGGCCGCUGCCCCUGAUAAUGUAAGUAACCUGCAGAGCUGAAUCGCAAGAGAAGCCGGGCGAACACAUGGAGUGGCCAUAGAUUCUAACGAGAUCUGCGCCGAAACCAACCUCACCAACCAAGGGCAAGUUUUUGGUGUUCAAAACCACAACCUUUCCACCGUCUUUAAUGUCAACAUCCAGCGGAGCUUCCUCGCAGUUCAGGGCAAGGCCAUUUCGAUGCUCGCUCUUGGGCUCAGGCAGCUUAAACCCUGCGUCGAGCUUGACUAUUCCCUUGGCGGUUUGGCUUUCAACAAGGGUUUUCACAACACUUUCUUCUAAGUUCCAGGCUCUGCUUGCAAACUCGGUCGUGAACCCGGUGAAGAUGCCAUUGCUGCCCGUCAAGUAAAAGUCGGUGAAUGAACCGGCUUUGUGACCUGUUUUCGUAUCGCCUAAAAAGAGGACGACGAGCUCUGUGUCCUCUUUGUUGUACCACCAUGUAACAACACCAAACGGAAGCGCAAUAGCAUCACCCUUUUUAAUUGCAACAACCUUUUCUUCUUUCUCAGGCAGGACAACUCCAGCUACUCCAGAACCUAAGUACAAGAGCCAUUAAUUCCAUAGACUGUUGAAAUUACAUAGAGAAUUCCCAAAAUCAAUGAGUUACAAUCAUUUCAAACCAUAGGCACAAAUCGACAAGUUGCAUCAGAAUCCUUUUUGAGUAAAGGAUGCGAGAACCUCAUUCCCAUUAACAAAUCCAUGAAUUGAUCGUUGAUCAAAAGCAGGGCAGCAAAAUACUCGAUUUAAUAAAUAAAUAAAUAAAUAAAACCCACCCCCAAAAAAAAAAAAGUAAAAACUGAGUGUUAUACUGCUCAUACCACCCCAAAAAAGGAAAAACAAAAGAACAUAAGAAGAUUCAAGUCAUACUCAAAUUAAAAGGAAAGACCGCGGUUACCUUGAAGAACAUAAGCAACCUUAGCAGAAUCAGAGUAACGGGGAGGGCAAAUCCAUUCUUCUCGAGAGCAAGCUUGGCUGCACCAAUAUUGCCUUGACGCAGCAUGGGGAGUUCAUCCGGGCACCAUGCAUAGUAGGCCCCACCAUCUCCUCCAUAAGCCUUCUUCGCCAACUUUGGUGAUAGGUCAAUCUCCAUCUCCUUUAUAACCCACAACAAAAACAAACAACUUUUCUUUUAUGGCGAAGAAAACAGCUGAAAAUAACGAGAACUGGCGAAAAGGAUAGUGGAGGGGCUUGGUAUUUAUAGGGGAAACACUGGAGUUUGGUGAGGAUAAGGAUUGAGAUAAUUUGUAACGGAAAAGAUACCGAUAGUAACACGUUAGGAUUUUGUGGAUUAAUUUGUGAUAGACUACAAUUUUGAGUGUUGUGCUAAUCGAAUUAAUUUGUUUUAUAUAUUAGUAAAUGCAAUUAAGUUUUUGCAAGGUUGAUUGACCUAAUGGCCAAGCAUUAAUUCAUUGAGGGAGAAUUGGAAAUUGGAAAACGAAGGGUGGGAAAAGUAAAUACCAUAAUAUUACGUCCCAACUUAUAAUUUUUUUUCCCUUCAAAAUAAAGGUGAAGAUUUUGAAUGCCAUAUUUAGUUGUUAUCCAUUGAGGACAAUCCUCUUAUUGUUAGGAUAUCUUAAUGGAUUAGACUGGAUAAUGAUUAAAUUGUAUAAUAUAUAACAUAUGACAAUCCUCUUAUUUUGGAAAAGUAGAUCGUUCUCAUCUCUACUAAUUGAUUUUUUUUCCCCCUUUUUUGUUUGUUCUUUUUUCUUUAUUUUUUUUUUUUUUUUGCAACAACCCAAGAUUGACCUUUAAGGCAAAAAAAAAAAAAAAACCUAAACUAAAUUCCAUUAUAUUCUCAUAAAAUGUAUAUGCGAAGAGCUUACUUCUCCUCAAUAAAUAAAACUCAUUUAUACCUGUUACCUAAUUAUGAUCCAUCCAAACCCGCUCAAAUCACACAUUUUGAUACCUCUACUUAUCCUUAACUACUUCAUAUCAAUAGCAAUGUCUAAUGUAAUGACAACCCAAUCAUCCAAGGUUAUUCCAUGCAAGUUGCAACAAGUGCGAGAAAGAUAUAAAACAAGAAAAGCAAGCCACUGGCAGCAAACUUAAACUAGAGUAGGCUUUCAACUUUGUCUCUGAAAUAAACUGGACCAAAAAGGAUUAUUUGAAAAACAUUCUGUUUGUAUUAUUUGAAAUGAUUGGUAACACCACAAGAACGUCCUAGGACUUAAAAUCGGGGCGGUCCCUGGGCAAAAGGGAAACAAUAUGUUGAAAUAAGUUUUUCUUUUUUGAACAAAAAUGUUGAAUUAAGUUUAAAUUUUAUAAGUAUACAAUUGAAACAACAACUAGAUACAACAAUAAUUUUAGCAACUAGCACUCCUCCAUUAUGUUUACCAAAGAAUAUUAGCCAAAAAAAAUUUGUGAUUCUCUUAAGUGAUUUGAACCUCCAUCCAAUUUCCUAAAAACAUUUUUAUUUUCAAAAGUAGAAGAUUUUGAAUCCAAAUCAAAUUUCUAAUGACAGUAAUCUAUAUCUAUGUCUAUAUGUAUUAGAGGGGCGGGUUUUUGAUGAGGAGCUUUUUAAUUUAGUAAUCUAUAUCUAUAUGUAUAUCUAAAUCCAAAUCCUUUUUUACUACAAUUUUGUUUUUUUUUUAAUUUAGUAAUUUUUAUCUCUAAACUAACGGAUAAUAACCGCCCCUGUAAAUAACUCACAAACCAGAUUGACACUUUAUUUUUACUACAAUUUUAGAUUUUUUAAUUUAAUAAUGUUUAUCUCUUAGCCAACGGAUAAUAACCACCCCUACAAAUCAUGCCUACGGUAAAAUUACUCCAAUUUAAUUAAUUACUGAACAAAUUUUUCAAUUCAUAAUCAUAACCUAUAUUUUUUUCAUUCUUGCUAGGUUAAAUAUUUUCAAAUACUUGCUCGUAUUCAAAGCAUUAAUAUAGAAAAACAUGUUCUAUGAGCUAUGCAAAAAUUAUACUCAACUAUGUGAAAGUCAUUUUGCAAAAAACGUGUAUGCAUUAUAAUGAUAUGGUCGACACUAUUGUCAGAUAAUUAAUUUCAUGUACCUUUAAUUUCAACAUAUUUUUCUAUAUUGUAUAUAACAUUUUUUUUUUUUCAAACAGGUGCAAUGUUAAUAUACAAAUUAGAGAUUCCAGUGGUAACUUACAUCUUAAUCUAUAAAACAGACAUGAACUAUUUGUAUUUCAUUGUGAUGCUUCUUAUUAGAGAAUUGCAAAUGAAAAUAGAAUUUCUUAAUAUAUAUUUAUUUUUUAUAAUAUUAUUUAUAAACUAUAUAAAAAAUACACUAAUUUUGAAUUCCGCAUGCUUUUAAUUCUGAGAAAAUGGAGAUAGAUAGUUGUUGAAUAAUAUACACAUUUUAUUAUACAUCAAAUUAUUGUUAAACAAAUCUUAUAUUUUAAUUAUGUUGGUACGAUUUUUUAAUUAUUAUUUUUUGAUUCACCCCUCUUUUAAUUUUUUUUCAAUAAUGUCAGCACCGUGCAUAGCACGGGUAUUCAAACUAGUUCUUUUACUAUUUAUGAGCUGGUUGUAAAUGGUAAAAUAAUGAGUCAUGGUCCGAAGACGACUUAUUAAUUAUCACACCAUUGUAGUAACUAUAGAUAAAACAAAACCAAGAAAAAAAUAAAAUUCAAAUUCAAAUUGUGCCUAGCUUAAUCAAAAGAUCCAGAACCUUGUACAGUUUGAUUGAAUUAUAUGAUUUGAUCAAAUUGUUUGGGAACAUCUUUAAAUAGUUUAAGGCCCAGUAUUUUUUGGGUGGUUUUUCCGGGGUGGGGAACACAACCUCAUUGGUUCUCAGCGACAGCUUACUUUUGCUGCCAAAAAUGAAAUUCCUGUGGCUGCUGGGAUUCGAGCCCAGGUCUCUACGGCCACAACGUAGAAUUCUAACCACUAAACUACAGCCACAAGUUGUGGGACAAAACCAAAUAGGCAGGUUUAUGCGUAGAAUAGCUGGAAUGAAUCAAAAUUUACACUAGAUAGUUUAGUGGGUAAACAACUUACUGUUAAAAGUUGAGUGGUUAAAAUUUUAGUAUUUGAAAAGUUUAGGCAGCUACUUGAAUAAUUUGCUCGUUUUCUUUUCUCCCAAUAGAAUCGCAAUCGAAAAUUCGAAUACAAAAAAUACUUGAGAACACUAGAAAGCAGUUUUUGGAAAUCAGAAGCUAAAACCAGAUUUUUAAAAUCAAUUUAAAACAAAGCCCGUGUGAAGAAGGAGAAGGAUAGAGGCAAUGAGGCACGCUAAUCUUCUUCUUUUUCCUGGGACUAUUAUCUGUUGUGUGUUUUGCUCGGUCACAUUAGCACGAUGUCCUUAAAGUUGGUGAAUGUACUUAGCACCCCAUAAUGUUAAUACAAGGAAAAUGCCUUUGCUUUGCUUCCAAUUUCCAUUCGAUACAUGUCAUUCCUUGAGGUUAUUUGUUCCUUUAAUCGAUUAAAUGAAUUCGUUCGAACCUGAUAAAUAAUAACAUUAAAAACUAUUUCCUCAAAGAGAAAAUAGUUAUUUUGGAAUUUGCAAGUUUUAAAUCCUCUAAAUUAGGCUAGAGCUGUUCCUUGUCACCAAUCGUGAAAUAUAUACCACUAGCUUUUCAGAAGAUGAUUGCACCAUAUACCUUCGGGCCAUUUCCACCAUGUUAAAUACUAGCAAUUCCUACGCGUUUCAUUGGAAAGGAAAAACGAAAAUGAACAAGGAGGGCGAGAAGAUGAUGUCGCUCAAUUUAGCAGGUUUAUAUUUCUAAUUUGUAAAGUUUAAGAAUUGAAAAUAGGAAUAUACAGGUCAUUCAAGGCAGCAACUCGAAUAAUCAACUCGUGCAUUAUAAAACAAAAGCUUUGUGUUUGAGAAAAAACAACAUACAUUUUUCCCCCCUUCUUCGGGAGGUUAGCUCUAGGUGCAGCCAAAACUACAAACCAAGUUACCUGAACUUCGCAUUGCCCACUUUCUGCAGGCUUCAAAACCGAAUCAGGGGAAGAAAAUUAUAUAUAUAUAAAUAAGGGGCCGUAGAAAAGACAGAAAAUACAAACUUAAACUACAAGACUGCAUUCUCAUUUCUUUACUAGCUGUAACCUAACCCAGUGAAAAAUCGGGCAUAGGGGUGUCAAAAUCUGAACGGCUGUUAGAAUCUAACAUCUAAUGCAACUGACCAGCAAGUUGUGCCAUCUCGAGAGCAAGUCUCCAAUCCAAGCCCUUGGCAGUCAAUGUUUCUGAUUGAAGCUUCACAAUUGAAAAUAGAUGCAUGUUUCAGAGGGGAUCUAUAAACAAAGUCGCAAAAUAAUUUGUUCCAGUUACGGAUUAGCUUUCAAUGGAGAGGAAGCUCCAUUUUCUUGAGGAUUAGACGGUGAAGUUCUUGGUCUCUCUCUUAGAAAGCUUUUUCCAUACAGGGACCCAAAGACAAUAACCUGACAUUGAAUUUGAACAGCCAAUCAUUUAGCAUUCCACAAAACAUGUAGACAUAGAGCAAAAAUUGCGAUUCAUGAUGCUUACAGCUCCAAUACACUGUUCCCAGCUGAGUGGGUGGGCAAACCAUACACAGGACAGCAGAAUGCUCACCAACUACAACAACAGAUGGAUAGGGAAUCAUUACUAUUUCUUUAUAGGUGCCGCCAAAAUAACAGAAUCACUAAAAUUUCUUUCUAUUCAAAUGAUUUUGUUUCACGGGCAGUUUAUGACAGCUGCUAGAAUUUAAGGAAACUAUUAACAUACCUGUCUUGUGGUCAUUAUGGUCGCAAACGUCAGAGCACCAAACGUGCGGAUUGUAUAAGAAAUAAAGAAUUGGCUAACUGUUGCUACCUGCAUGCAAAUGAAUGUAGCAUUUUAUAUGUGUUUGUGAAAAAAGAGUAUCUAAUGUGCUUGCAAUUAAGAAAAGUAUUUCUAGGCACAAUACAAGUCGCCACACCACCAAGUCCUUUAAUCUUUCACUUGGACUUAAAAUUCUAAUUUCACAACUGACCCCCUCAACUUGUGCACAUUUUGUUUAUAGCAAAUAGAACUUGAUCAAAACUCGACUCCUUGUGCACGUAAAAAAAAAAAAAAAGGUUACCACAAAAGAAAUGUCCUCAUAACUUUUGAACGCGUUUUAAUUACAACUCCUCACAAAUACUUUUCAACAUAACAUGAUCAAAUUGUACAUGCAUUACUUCAUGUAAUCAUUUUUUAACAAUCUAUUGUAAGAUAUUCAGGGUAUGUACAAGUUUAUGCCUUUAUACACAUAUUCUGACUGCGAGAGAGAUCACACAGUCUUCUUCAAGUGACGUCAUCUUGUCAUGUAUAAAUGGUCAAUUUUCUGUGAAGUACCAUUCAAUGAAAGCAAAUUUAGAAGUUGCAGAGGCAACUGGUCAAUCAGAAGCAUGAAGGGGAAUGAUUGUGCUAGUUUGAGAGAGGAGUUUGUGUUCUAGCCCAUGUAGCAAUAGACAUGAAUAUUAUUUCAGAGUACGCGUUUACUUACAGUUGAUAGCAAUAUAAUAUCAAAAAAGCAAUCAUGGUGCCGAGAUACAAAAUCUAUUGCCAUCAGCAGAUUGCCCUGUAAGAUUAGACCUACAAGGAAAAUGUUAAAAUAAAUAUCAAUGAUUGGGCAUUCAACUGAGAAAAAGAGUUUCAAGGAAAUACAAAAAGAAGUGCAACAUAAACAGAGUUUCAAUAAUAGUGCCUUUUGCUUGCAUUAAUUGUUUUAGUAGUAAUACAUGUAUGUAUAUGUAAAUAGAAACAAAAAGGAAAUCCAACAUGUAAAUUCUAUUGAGCUUCUUAUUUUCCGAGAAACUAACUCAAAACUGUCACAUAGCAUACACCCAAAAUUUUGGGGCAAAACUUCGUCCAAUUGCAAGCAUUGUGCAACUAACCGAACGUUCAAAAAAGAAAACCAACAAAAAAGGGAUAAUUUUUUCAGCUUAACCUCCUUUGCUUUAUCUUAUCAUUGUUUAUUUCCUCAGAAACUUUAAGUUAUAAAGAUCCUCCCAAACUUUAGAAAAAAAUUGAUUGCCAAAUUAUUGGAAGAAACUAAGAACACAUUUCACACGAUUCCAAACACUGACAACAAAGAAAGAAAAUGCUGGCGCAGUGGGAGAUGCUGUCGAUGUUUGUCAAAAGCCUUUAGGAAUUAUUUGCCCCUUUCAUCAAGUUAAAGAUAGAGCCUAAGAGAUGCAGAGCAAACAUGAAUUUAAUAACAAGAAUUUUCCAUAAAAUUGGACGAAUUUGGUUCAACUUCCAAGUUUUGAAACUUGUAAGCAAUUAACAGAACUGUUGGAAGCAGAUUUGGUCUAAACGUGAAGAAAUUUAGGUAGCAUAUUUACAGGUAAAAACAUGCCUGGAUAACUCUACAUACUGACAUAUCACAAAGCAGGAUCAACUUUCUCCAGCCAUGGAAAAUAACUUGAACUAUUAUAAGCCAUUUAUGUCUUGUAACCUAAAAACAGAAUUCUGGGAAUCAAAUAACUCAAGAUUCCCUUAAGAAGUGAGAUUAGAUGCCAAUGAUUUAGGGGAUUUGGAUAAUAUAAGCCAUACCAGUAAAACUCAGCAUACAAGAGCAAAGGGUUGUGUAGAAGAUCUGAUUGUGUAUGUCCAUAUCAUAUCCUUUAAAAAGUUUAUCCUGGAACGUGCUUGUAAACCCAUCAAACCUGGAAUUACAAGUGAUAAGUUACACGCUGGUGGAAAAUAAAAUUGCAAUUGCUAACUUCUUCAAUGAAUUAUUUAGGAUGUAAAACCGCAUCAGACAUUCAACAGGUUGAAUAAUAUAACUCAAAAACAGCAAAUCAUUAAAUUAAAACAAUACAGAAGCAAAAGAUUGGUGUGCUAUAAUUUUCUAUACACCAUUAUCAAUAAUAUCAUCUGAUGGGACAUGUAGUAUGCAAUGGCAGUCUGCAGUUGCAUGUGUUCAACAUGACUGCUUGGGACAACUAGUUUCAACAGAAACAGAGCAUAUGCACAAACAAACAUCCAGUCUUUGGCGAUUGUACUAGAUUGCUCCUACUAAAUACCCAAACAGUAUAGAAGAAACUGGGAUAGCCAGGACUAUUACUUGUCAUGAGAAAAGUGAUCAGAACUUUGAGCUCAGCAGACAAAUUGAGUUGCAGCCAAUGCCCAUCUUUCAGAAAGGAGGGAAAAAGGAAGCGAAGAGGCAGAUGGAGGGUGAAAUUGGUAGCAAUGGACUGAGCUCUGAUUUUCAUGAGAGAGAGAGAGAGAGAGAGAGAGCAACCCACUUCUAGCGUGCCACAUUUCAUCUAUUUUCUUGGGCAUAUCAGCAAAUGGUCAAUCCAUUGCUAUCAAAAAACUUCUUAAAAAGCAAACAGACUUUCUUCUCUGAGUUAACUAUGCCUCUCUCCCACUAAAACCAAAUUUGAACAAAACAGUGCACUAGAUUAAUCUCAGUCCAAGUGUUUUAAAAAUUCUUCUUUUGAACAUGUUGAAUGACACUUGCUGCAUUCUAAGCUCCACUACAAAGCAGAACUAUAGGAAAAAGGAAAGUAAUACAUGAUCAUUGACAUACAAAAAAAGCCAUUAACCUGCCUAUUAAGCUGAAGUAGUCACUGACAGACCCACUCCUCACAUGCUCACGCACAUGGCAUCCAGCAUAAAUUCAAAAAUAAAAAUCAAUCUCCAGAGGCCACUUGACAACUUUAUUUCAAUUGAAAACUUAUGCUUAUGAAAAAGCCUAAGGCCCCUUUUUGGAAUGGAUAAUGUAAGUUUAGAAUUACAUACCCCAAAUAACCAAUCAUCAGGGAGACACCCCAAACUGUGCUUUCCCUUCCUCUACUGUAAGGACUAAUAUCGCCUGCUGCCUACAACAAAAAGAACAACAUUUUUAAAUAGCUGCAUCACACAAUCAAUACAACGUUAGCACCUAGGAUCCUCUGGAUAAUAUAUGAUACUAAAAACCUGGUAUAUUAUUCAUCAAAUGAAGGUAUCGUGGUUUUUCUACAGCCAAUACUUAGCCUUCACAAGUUCGUUAUGAAUAGAACUUAAAGCCCAAGAGAAAGAAUCUGAUGCUUCAAGCAUGACAAACAGCAAUAUAUUAAGAACCACCUAUUACAGCCAAAUAUCCUGUAGGCUUCCACAUGAAUCUCACAUUACUAUUAGUAAUGAGUAAUUUUAUAGCUAACAUAAUGUGAUGGAGUGCUGGCAACAUAUAAGACUGUUUUGCCUAUGCAUGAACAAGUUUUCAGUAAGUUUAAGUUGAUUUUCUCCCUAAUGCAAUUGUUUCCUUGCGACACUUUCCUUGAAGCCAUGAGAACAGAAUGUUUAAAUUGUGUACAAAUAUAACUUAAGUAAAGAUUCAAAAGCUAAAAUCCUUCAGGUAAAUUUAAGACCUGAUUGGACACCCGGUACUUGACAGGUUCCUAACACAGAUUCAAUGAUGUAAUAGCAACUGCUUUCAGUCAAGUAGAAAUAAAAUCCAAGGAUCUUUAACUGAACAUUCGGGUAUCGUUAAUGCUACUUCAUUUAAAUUGGCAGGAUAAAGGAGAGCUGAAGUGUUAACAUUCAUUAGCUUCUCUAGUAGGGUGGUUUAUGAUGUUGAGCUCAUAUUGCAUUUAUCCUGCAUAUGCAAGGAUAAAAUAAUACACCAAAAGAUGAUACACCAAAAGAUGAUUAGGGAUUUGGCAAUAGUUGUUACCGGAAACAGAAUAAAUAUUGAACACCCAACUGUCACCAAGAAUGCCAAUGCAUAAUCUUUGAUAUAGUACUUCUUUUGCAUUAUGAUAGAGCCCCAAAGCUGCACAGUAACACGAGGAAAUGCAAAGAGAAAGGGAAAACGUUAAGCAAAAUUUAGAACAGAUAAUGUCAAAAGCCAAAUAUUACUACAAGAACUGCAAUACAAAGAAGCAGAGAAAUAAUGAAUUUACAUGCAAGGAUAUUAUGAAGUUAGCCCAAACCAGCAACUUAAUAUUACCAAGGAAACACAUUUUGCCUUGAUUGAACCAUCCAUAUAAGAGUCUUACAUUAGAAGCCAAAGAAAUAUCGAUAUACAAGACGUCAUAACAAUCUAUCAAAAUCAGCAGGUACAAAAAGAAUACAAAAUCAGCUGCCAGCUAAAGCAGAAAACCAAGCUCUAUGAUGGACAUUAAGCUGGAAAAAUGGUUGAUGACAACUUUUGAAGUGUAUUUGCUUGUGAAGAAAAUGAAACUAAACCACAGGAUUCAUGUGGUCAAGAUUGACUAGACAAGAAUCAAACUAUAACUUAAAUUCUGCCAACGUGGAAGAAGAAAAUAUUUGCCACUAGCAGAGAUAAGGUGCCAGCUCAAUUUCACCACCACCAAGAAAACCAAGAAGAAAUGACAAAGGAUCAACAAAGCCAAAGAAUAUAGUACCACAGAGAAGUUUUAAAUUCUAGAAAAUAUGAUAAAGAUGCCAAACUGAUACAACACGUAGGAUUAACUUACCAUGACAGGUAUCAUUUUAGCACAUUUAGCCAGAGUCUGAACAGGAAAACUGACGUAUUUAAGGGCCUGGAGUGAGCAUAUAUCAGAAACACUUACAAGCAUUAGAUACCUCUGAUGUAUUUAGACUGUAUUAAUUUAAUUUAAAUCUAUAGGUAGAAGAAUGCAUUCUUUACUUUUUCUCUUCAGAAUAAAAAAUUCAGUAUGCGAGGAUACUUGUGCAAGAAUGAAAUGACUUACCUCAUACUGACAUGUUGUUGUGAGUAUGUUAGACACAGAAACAACACAAUACUUGUAUAACGGAGCCACAGGGUCCAAAAAUUUUUACUUACCUGAGAGGAGAUAAAAUACAGAGUGAUUUUUCAGCAAAGAAAAAACAAAAACACCACAAAAAGGAGGUCUCAAGGAUGUGCAUCACUUCUCAGACAAACACGUGUCAGAAAUUCUUGCAUAACUUGGUAAAUAACAUGUAUCUUAAGCUUCGGAAACUUGCACUGCAUGCUUUUCCUCACAGCAGGCAAAUAAGGUAACAGAAAAUGAUGGAACAAUGUUGCAACUGCAGGGUUCAAUUUGAACACUUCUAUUUUCCAGUCAGGCAUUAAGCAAACAAAUCACUCGAGCACUAGAUGGGCUCUUACUAAUAAAACUCCAGCUGAAACAGCAGAAGUUGAAAUUCGAUUGCAGAAGACAAGAAACAAGGAAUAUCUGAAAUAUUCUUUGUGAGGCCCAUAAGGAACUCUCAUGAUCUUUUCCUGCAUGCACAAAAAACCAGAAUAACAUUAUUGAAACACAAUGAAACAAUGAACGCAUAACAGUUACAUUUCAAACAAAUCUCAAAUAAAGAAGGCAAACCAUAUUUGCAAUCAUCGUCAGCAAAACAUGACCAAAUAACAUUCUGCAAGGUGACACUUUAUUCAGAAAUGUUCCUAGCCACAGAGGAUUACUAUCCCCAAUAGCUCUCAUUGCCACAUGUCUUGAUUACAUUUCUCUAAUUUCCAAUGAAAUAUAUUAAAGUAGGUAAAGACAUCAAUAAAUUGACAAAGCAACGACCUGUCAUGGAAAGGAUUUGAUUCCAAAUCUGCAUCUUUCUAAAGCAAGGUGAUCAAAAGACUGUAAAGUGCUUCACACUCCCAUUUCACAAAAUAAAACACAGUGACUGUAAAAUUUUUUGAGCUUUCGGCCAACCUUGACAAAGAAAAACAACACAGUCUACGAGUGCUCCAUGUAUUGCCUACCAGCACCUCAUGUCUAAUUCUAUCCAAUCAGGAAAAACAGCUCAAAAGCACCUAUUUUUCCCAUAAGAAUACCAUGUAACUAAUUCUAACCAACUUCGCCUUCUCAUUUCCACCUCAAAGACGCACAUAUGCACACACACAGAAUUAAAUCCAAGAACAUUUGAACAAAAUCAAAUUUAAAAAAACAUUUGAAUCGAAUACGAAAGCUGGGAAGAUAAACUAAUCACUAAAAAGCCGAUACCUGUAAAACACCAUAAAUAACGAGCGUCGACAUGAUUCCAGUUACGGCGAAUAUUCCUUUCAACAGCUUGUUAUCUUUCGCCGGUAGCGGUGACGAAAGUGACGGCGGCUCCGCCAUAUCCCAUCCACUCCCUCCUCCACCUCCUAUUCACCAAAUCACACAUAAAAAAGGAUUAAAAUUAUCAUUUCAAUAAACUGCAAGAGUAUAGGAGAGCGUGCAGAACGUCGUCGCAGCUCACCGGAGGCUAAUUAAUAAGCGGAAGCACAAACGUAGAAAGCGUGGGGCUGUUACUUGUCCCUGAGCUCAGAAUUCGAAAAUCGUGCCGAGCAAGAAUCGGAGAUGAUUAAAUGAAAGAUAACACCCCGUUACGGUUACGUUUUGGUCUUCGAUUUUGCUUCCGAUCCGUCGGUGAGUUUGAGCUGGCUCUCGCCUCCUCUCACUUGCUCGAUUUCCUUUUCUUCCGUUCCCGUUCCGUUCCCGUCCUUUUGAAAUUCUUACUUAGUUAGAAGCCAGGAAGCCUUGCCACGUCAGCAUGAAAUGGGUAAUGGAGCCCGCUGGUCCGAUCCAGACCUCACAAAAAGUGGAAGAAAUGGGUAACGAGGCUGCUUUAUUUUUUCCGGAUAAAAUAGUUCUACUUCGCGAUUAUGGGCUCAGGUGAGAUUAUAAAAAGAUACUACUAUUAUUCAUUCUUGACUGUUGCGUGAUUUAACAGGAACCAUUCCCGGCCGUUGGAUUCAGCGACAAAAAGUCAACCAUCUUUUAUUGGAGUAUGGAAUUUGCGGUUUAUCGCUACACUAGUAGUACAAAUACGGGCCGGCCACAUAUAAUUUUUGUUGUGACAUGCUUAGGAAAUAAGAAACUGUUCAGUUAAUUGGGACAUGGGGUAAGCUAUUUAUCUCCAUUUGUAUUUUCCUCUCAAUUUUGGUCAAUGCUUUACAGUUCUAUAGUUUGAAGUAGGACCCCCCCCCUUUUUUUUUGUUAUGAUUGGUGAAGAACGAAGAUUUAUCAUAUUAUUGUUAUACUUGUCUAGUAACUACAUGUUCUUGCUUCCCAGAUUUUGCAGGAUUAGCUGACAAACACAGAAGUAAAAGCAGCAGCACCAACCGAAUAUGGGGCCAAUUAAACAACCAAUGAAAUUGGUUAGUGAAAACAGUUGAUGGCAUGUUCUUGCAGCUUGAAGCUCUGAUUUUCUGUGCAUUGAGUCCAUCAUGAUAGAUUAAGGUUCCGUUUGAUAAAACUGAAUCUGAAUUUUGAAGUCUGAAUUCUGAAAUCUGAAUACUGAAACAAUUAAUUUGCUAAAUUUUAAAUACUGAAAAAAUGUAUGAAUGUCUGAAUUUUAAUGUUAAACCUAUUUAUACUAUUUGGUAAACAUUUAUAAUUGAAUGUUUAAUAAGUUAAAUUUGACAAUUUUGCCCUUAUAUCUUUUCAUCCAAAAAAAAAAUAGAACCUAUGAUUUAAUUAGCUAAAAAUGUUAGGUAUGAAAAUGAUAAUAUUUAUUUUUAAAUCAAAUUAAUAUAAAAGAUGAAUUAUAUUAUAUGAGGAGUAUGGAGAAUAAGUGAAAGUCAUUCAAAAGAGAGAACAGAGAAAUAAAAAAUCAUUAGAUAGAAAAUAUUAGGCUGUUUAAUUAUAUAAUAAUUUUGAACAUAAUUAAUAAACAAGGGUAGAUUUGGUAGAUAAGAUAAGGUAGUUGAAGUAAUUCUAUUGAUUAUUAUCAGAAUUAAGCAUUCAGUUAGGAUUCUUGUGCUGAAAAAAAUACACAUAAAUUCAGCACUACUUAACAAGUUCAGCAAAUGAAUUUUCAUUUAUCAAACACUCAAAACAUCUGAAUGUUUAAAAAAAUUCAAAUUCAGCACUCUUUUAUAUUAUUAAACAGACCCUAAGAGCACAUUGAGAAGACAAAAAAUCCAGAGGCUCACCAGAGGGUGCAGUGGUGUAGUUCCUGGUCUGCAGCGUCACUGUCAUAGUGUCAUCCCCUCGUACAAGUCUAAUUGAGUUUUCCCUCCCUCACGGCAUAUGAUAGAGUAGAUUGUUGACAUAUUGGACAAAUUUUUGAUGUCCAUUAAUGUAUCAAUUUUUUUUUUUUAAUACAAGAGUGUCAUGAACUCGUGGAUCAGAUUAAUCUCCUACGACUAGCAGAGCCCUGCCCAAGGAUGCCAGCACGCUACCAACAAGGGUCAAAUUGAAGGCUUACCGCUAAAGAGCGGAUGACAGAACCAGACGAGCUAUCCGCUGGGGGAUAUGUCCAUUAAUGUAUCAACACAAAUCAAAUGUUGUAUGAGUAGAUGAAAGGUAGACUCAAUAAUGAGAGUGAAUGGGAUAAAUAAUACUUCAAUUUUCAAAAUCCCUACUCUUGGUUUUUAUUAAUCUUGUAAACCAAAUAUAUGUAUUUAUAACCAAAGAAUUAAAAAAAAAAAAAUUUUGCUCAUCACAGAACGACGUUCACUUCAUAUAUUCCUUAGUCCACUUUCCUUCUUCUUAGUAAGAAUUUCAGAAGCUCACAAUUAAACUCGCACAAUACAAACUUUGAUGAUUAAGUGUCACUUCAUUCCUCUAUCAAUGGAUCAAGACAAAUACUUAAAUAGCCGGUAUUGGAUAAUGCUAAAGAAAAUUAGAGGUCUGGAGGUGGUGGUCUUUCUUUUCUGCUGGCAGAAGCACGCCUCAUGCAAUAGACGAUGGAACCAAAGAAACCAAGAACAAGAUAACGAGAGUUGCAGCUAUUUUUAUUGGCCCAAAACUUUAUGGAUUGUAUAGUUGUGUUUCACCAUCAAUUGGUUCCUCGUAUUUCAGUCGGCCAACGUUAUAGCUUCAGAACUGUUGUGCAGGAGUAGGACUAGGGAUAUACGGGAAGAGACCAUGCGUUUCCACUUGCUGGGCUGUUGGGGUGCCUGGAGGCUUGUCUGAUGAGAGCUCUAGUUCAUCGCAGAUUAAUCCAAAUGGCUCUCUCUUUAGUGCCUCGAUGAGCCUUCUUCAACAACUUUCGGCGCCUUGGAUGCUGAGAUAACACCUGAAACAAUUGAUUUCUUUGUCAGUGAUGCUGAGGGCGAUCCUGAUUGCCCCACUGCAGGCUAUUCUUCGAUUGAACAAGCCCUGAAUAUGUUGCGCAAAGGAAAGGUUGGUAGCAUCGUUUGGAUGGUCUAAUAAACAUCAAACUGAUGAGGUUGAGAUUUUCUUCUGUUUCUUGUACUUUUCUCGCUGUAAAACUGUUUCAGUCUGUGAUAGUUGUAGACGAUGAAAAUGAAGAGAUUGAAGGAAAUCUUGUGAUGGCUGCAUCUUAUGCGAAUCCACAAGCUGUUGCAUUUUUGUUAAAACAUGGAUCUGGAAUUGUUUCAGUAGGAAUGAAAAGUGACGAUCUUGAGAGGUUACAGCUCCCUUUGAUGUCACCUGAAAACGAAGAUGAUUCUUCUGCUCCAUCUUUCACGAUUACAGUGGUAUGGCAACAUUUUUAUAUCUAUUUUAGUUCACUUACUGCCAUUUUAUUAGGUUUCCAUUUCACCAGGAGAUGAUGAACUCAAAUUUAGAGAACAGGAAUAAAAAAAAUUCAUGAAUAAGGCAAGGAAUGUGACAACAAUUAUAGGGACCGGGCAACUUAAAACACCCUUGUUUAGUCCUGCCAGACACUUCCUAUUGUUCUUUUUCUUUAUUUCUUUGUUUUUAUUUAAUCUGUUUGAACACAAUUAGGAUGCCAGAGUGGGCACUACUACUGGUGUAUCAGCUUCAGACCGGGCUAAGACAGUCCUUGCACUCUCAUCUCCUAGUUCCAGGCCCGAAGAUUUUAGAAGGCCAGGCCAUGUCUUUCCCCUCAAGCAUCGGAAUGGUGGGGUUUUGAGGAGAGCUGGACAUACUGAGGCUUCUGUUGAUUUGGUUAUGCUGGCUGGCCUGCGGCCUACAUCUGUACUUUCUGCAGUUGUUGAUGGAGAGGAUGGCUCCAUCGCAUCCUUGCCUUGUUUAAGAAAGUUAGCCCUGGAGCAGAACAUCCCAAUUGUCUCAAUUACGGACUUGAUCAGGUAAGCUACUGCCAACUUACUGCAGUGGAUUCCCUUCAUAGAAGCUAUUGCCAACUUACUUCAUUAGAAAGUUUCAGAAGAGCUCUGAUUUUCAUUACUGGCUGCAUUAUCAAGUUAACCUUUAUCUAGUAGAUAUGCCCGAGCUUGAGUAUGUUACAACAAGUGACAUGUAAAAGAGAACCCUCAGGCAUAUGAUAUUCUCUCUUCCUGCUGUAAUGCAUACUGUGUUUUUUCUUCCUUCAGUCAGUUAUGACCAAUCCACAAUGCGUCUCCAUAACAACGGGUGUUCAAUUACUUGUAGGUAGGAGAAAGAGGGAAAAUCUGGUUGAAAGGACAGCAAUUUCUCGUUUGCCGACUAAAUGGGGUUUAUUUCAGGCUUACUGUUAUCGCUCAAAGCUUGAUGGAACAGAACAUAUAGCAGUUGUAAAGGUAAACGAACUACGAUUUGCAGAAGAAGGAAUCCCAGUUUGAUCAUCAUAGUUUGUUUAAAGCCUCCUUUGUCCUUUAAAAAUUUACAGGGGGAAAUUGGAAAUGGUCAAGAAGUCCUAGUAAGGGUUCACUCUGAAUGUUUGACAGGGGAUAUUUUUGGGUCAAGGCGAUGUGAUUGUGGAAAUCAGUUGGAUCUGGCAAUGCAGUUAAUUGAGAAAGCCGGCAGGGGAGUUGUUCUCUAUCUCCGGGGCCACGAAGGGAGGGGUAUUGGCCUAGGUCACAAGCUUCAGGCCUAUAACUUGCAAGACCAAGGCCAUGACACUGUGGAAGCCAAUCUUGAGCUUGGUUUUGCAGCAGAUGUACGCGAAUAUGGGAUAGGUGCACAGGUCAGCUCAAUACUUAAUGAUCUCUUCUCAACAGAUGGUUGUUUCUUGAGGCUAAAUUCUACAAGGCUUUGGUUUCAAAUACUCCCAGUUUCAUUAGCACUAAUAACGAUGAAGCUUUUUGACAAAUGAUUGCAACAGAUACUACGUGACAUCGGAAUUCGUACCAUGCGCCUAAUGACUAACAACCCGGCCAAGUUCAUCGGUCUGAAGGGCUAUGGUUUGGCAGUUGUUGGACGGGUUCCAGUUUUGACUCCCAUCACCGAGGAAAACAAGAGGUAUUUGGAAACUAAGAGAGCAAAGAUGGGGCAUAUCUAUGAAUCCGGCGAACGAGGACUAUUGGAUGCAUUUAUUAACCCAGAUAUUGAUGAAAAUGAUCCUCCUGAGGAAAUCCAGAGAAAAUGAAUGAUCACUUUGGUUUCAUAUAGAAGCUCUUCUCUCCACUUUGUGGUUUCUGGGUCCAUUUUUUCGUUUUUAUGAAAUAGUCAUUGUUGAAAAUCAUUGAUCUUCUGUAUGUAUUCAGUGCAGAAAUUUAUUUGAUCACUUCAGGUUCACAGAUACAAAAGAGAUAAUAAAACCUCUCGGGGAAUGUUACCACGAAUUUACUUCUUUAUGAUCAUUUUCCUGCUUGAAAUCUUGGAAGCUUUCUGAUUCAGUAAACUUCAGAAGUACGAACUUUCAAUCUGUCAAGCACUCAGAAAUAAAAAAUAGCCCACACUGUACUUGAGAGCCAGCCAAGGCAAGUUAUAGGCAUAACUUUCAAGUUUAAAGCCCUGUUUCCCGGAAAGAUAGAAGCAUGCAAGUGAUUGAAACAGCGCUAAACUAGAAGAAAAAUGUUCUAACAUAUCCUUUUCAUACAGUGGCGAGAGUAGACGUGCAAAAUCCUGUCUAAGGAUCAUGUCGUUCAAGAAGCAAUAUCACUGUGCAGCGAGAGAGUUACGGCAGUUACCGAAACAAAAAGUUGAAACCCAUUGAUCUACAACCAAUAGUGGAUUUAAGAUGCAAUCUAAAUUCUCGACGUGUCAUAUUACAAGACAAAUUGGUCUUGAUUUUCUUGGUGGUUUCGGCGUUUUCUUUUGGCAGCUUCUUCCUGUAUCAAUUCAGCUUUUGAGACAGGCGUGUAUGUACAACACUACAGGCUGAUCUUACAAGAUCAUCAGAAAGAAUUGACAUCCUUUUUGUUUUGACUAUCAGCACACGGGACUAGUGGGGAGGCCCGCUAGUGAUUUUCUGUAUACUUCGGUGUAUUCAACAAACUUUGGCCACAAAAAUGUUUCUGAUCCCAUUCUGAUGCUAUGUCUUUUUCUCGAAAGAUUGUCAUAUGUCAUUUAACAGUUCGUCUCACCUUCUCGUAUCAAAAAAGAAUAUCCAUGUACUAUCAUCCCACCGGGUGCUACUUUCAAUCAUGAUGGUUCAUUCCCUUGGAUGACCAACAUCAAUGGCUAUUUGAGUUUCCAUCCUCUGUAGAAGUUUGCAAUACGUGGGAUCGAAGAAUUUGGUAGUUUUCUGCUCUUUCUUGACUGAAUUCUUCCCUCCUCAAAGUUUCUAGCAACGUGUACACGGAUACCGAGUGUUCCUGGUGCAUUGUUAGAUUAAAGACGUAUGAUCUGCAUAGUGGGCAGCUGGAAUGAGUCUGAAACCAAGCAUCAAUGCAGGAGACAUGAAAUACAUGAGAACAAUGUGGUAAAUGCUUCAGCCAUUCACCUUCUUCAAACUCCCCCAAACAAACUGCACAAUCUGUAAUUCCUUUACAGGUUUCUUCUUCAUUAUUCUUCUUGAAUUGCGUAAUGGGCAGCGAGUGCAUAACAAAGGAAUCUAGUCCACGGCUUUGGAGCUGUAGAGAAGGAUCAUCAGCGACAGCGUCAUGCAGACGUCGACUUUGGCCUUGAUUCCGGGAGUUUGUUAUUGAACCAAAGUGACUGCAAUGACGUUGAAGAAUCUUCUGAUAGCUGAACAAAAGGAAGAUGCAACAAACGACAACAACCAAUGCAAUCACCAUGGGAUUCCAUUGUGAAUGUUCAAAGCCUGAAGUUGGGGGCGGGCUUGGUGGCAUACUGCUGCUGAGUGCAGAGUAGUAUGAAGCUUUUUUGCUUGGCUGAUACCCUUCAACGAAUUAAAUCUGCAUGCAGAAUAUCUUGCUAGAACCAAACUCUUGGAAUGGAUAUCUUGCUAGAACCAAACUCUUGGAAUGGAGUAGGUCUAAAAUCUAAAUAGUACUACUACCUGUGUAUUUUUGGAGUAAUGAAGUAGAGUGCAUUUUUUGACCGAGAAAAAAGUUAAGAGAAGCCUUAUUCUUGGAAAGAACCAAACUCUUGCUAGAAAUUUUGAAAUUAAUGGUAACGAUCAGCACAAUGCAAUUAGAGUUGUGACCAACAAAAUUUUGUUUGAUGAUUUUGAGGAUAAAGACUUGCAUUAAAACUUCCAAAUGGCAUUGCAUGUCUACUCAUUGUUGUUGUCUUCUUGGUUAACAAUGCAAACAAACAACUCCAUUAGGCCAUUCAGGAAGGUGAAAAACGCCAGCUUGCUCUUACUUAGUGUCAAUGAUUCCAAUCUUCUUUGGACAAGUAGCGAACAAUGCUAAUUUUUGUCUUUUUUGUUCUCAUCACCAUUCUCCAAGAUUCCGUGGCUGCAGAAGGGAUGGUCAUUAUUAUUAGGCUAAACUUUUGCUGUGGUCUUGAAGUUGGGACAUUGGAAUUUGUACAAAAAUUUCCCAGACAAACCUCGUCAGGGGACCUCACCUUCGCAUAACACAAUCCACUAUUGAAAUGCUUUAGUAGGAAGACGAUGAUGAUAUGGAAUGCAUCCCCAGCCUCAGCUUGACAGCUUGUGCACUGGCACCUCAUAACUGCAGCAUUGGUAAAUUCUCACACACGUAUGUGAAUUCUAAGUUUUCUGGCUGUGCACUGGUAAAUGCUUGUCAAUAUACACAAACAGAACACGAAGGACGUAAGUUGUCUGCAAUCGAGCAGGUCAGUUUUUAUAUCGUCACCCACCGUCUAUGGCUUGAUGUGCUUUACUUAGUUUUCUCCAUUUGUCAUUUUUUUACGUUAGUUUAUAAUCGGCAAUACCUCUGAUAAUCUUCGCCAUUGCAUAUUGCUCCCUAUCGUCCAAUGGCUGAUUGAUACAACAGAAUGGAACUAAACGAAGCGCGAUGAAGGACAUAGCAUGUAGUAGUUUUAUUGGAAAAAUUGAAAUCGCCGCCGCGUGGCCCACAUACACAUCUUUUAUGUAUAAAAAGAUCAAAUUUCACUUUUUAAAACAAAAAUAAAUGUGAUUUAUGCAGGAUCCUACCUUUUUUUUUAGAGAAAAAAAAUGAAUAUAGAUCAGUCAUUUGUUUAACUACAAAUGGGAUCAUACUUUUUUGCCCUAAAAAAAUGAUCAUGCGGGAUUAUGUGUUAUUUCAAACAAAAAAUUAGUUAAAAACUUUGAUUGUGACCAAAUUUUAUUAACUCAAAUUUAUAAGGUACAUAAAGUGAAUUAUUUUUAAAAAUUCAUUUGGCAGAAGAAUAUGGAGAUCUUUUUGAAUGAUUUUUUUUAAAAAAAAAAAUUUAUUCAGCACAUCGACAAUUAAGUACUUUUGACUUAAAUUGCAACUCUAAUAUACUAUGUCGGAGAGUUGCAUGUGUUCAUUCUCUGACGGUUUAUUCUUCUUCACAAGUUGUCUUGUUUGAUCGUCUACUUUUUCACCGGACAAUCACUGACAGGCUGUCAACUACAGAAAAAGGCCAAGCUAACCAAACUCUUUCUGAUUGGUUCAACAUUGAGAAAAUGAUCAAAGAAUUUCUGCGUACAAAUAUUACUUGGGUUUAACACAAUAAUGACAAGAUAUAUAUAUAUAUUACUAAAAGUUUCAUAGCACCAUAAAAAUUUGCAUUUAAAUGCAUUCAUGUAGACAAAUCCUUAAAAAGAUUUCAAGUCCAAUGCAAAAUCUCAUGAGGAGAAACUCAUCAUUUGAAAGGUUUUCAAGACUUUCGAGAGGAAAAACUACGCAGUGGAUAUAAAGUAUAUACCAGUAAUUGGAUUAUGACAACCAAAUUUCCAAUUGCCCAAUCAAAUUGGAUCAAAUGAGUUUGAGACAAACACAAAAAAGGAAGAGGAAUAUCAAUCAAAAGCUAAAAAGCUAUGUCAUUCGAACUAAUCAAUUGUAUCGCAUUUACACCACCAGCAAUCUCAUUUAUACAAAAUUGGAAUGAUAGCAUCCUCCAAAUCCUCAAUAGAGCCUCUGCCUCUUACCCAGUGAAACAUAAGUGUUUGCAUUUGCUCCAGCUGAUAUCAACCUAUCACUUCCCAGACAGGAUCCAACAGGUC